AGGGAAUCUUCCACAAUGGACGCAAGUCUGAUGGAGCAACGCCGCGUGAGUGAAGAAGGUUUUCGGACCGUAAAGCUCUGUUGUUGGUGAAGAAGGAUAGAGGUAGUAACUGGCCUUUAUUUGACGGUAAUCAACCAGAAAGUCACGGCUAACUACGUGCCAGCAGCCGCGGUAAUACGUAGGUGGCAAGCGUUGUCCGGAUUUAUUGGGCGUAAAGCGAGCGCAGGCGGAAGAAUAAGUCUGAUGUGAAAGCCCUCGGCUUAACCGAGGAAUUGCAUCGGAAACUGUUUUCUUGAGUGCAGAAGAGGAGAGUAGAACUCCAUGUGUAGCGGUGGAAUGCGUAGAUAUAUGGAAGAAUACCAGUGGCGAAGGCGGCUCUCUGGUCUGCAACUGACGCUGAGGCUCGAAAGCAUGGGUAGCGAACAGGAUUAGAUACCCUGGUAGUCCAUGCCGUAAACGAUGAGCGCUAAGUGUUGGGAGGCUUCCGCCUCUCAGUGCUGCAGCUAACGCAUUAAGCACUCCGCCUGGGGGCAGUACGACCGCAAGGUUGAAAC
rnacentral:rRNA from 1 species